GAUGAAGAACGUAGCGAAAUGCGAUAAGUAGUGUGAAUUGCAGAAUUCAGUGAAUCAUCGAAUCUUUGAACGCACAUUGCGCCCCUUGGUAUCCCGAGGGGCAUGCCUGUUCGAGCGUCAUUUCACCACUCAAGCCUGGCUUGGUGUUGGGCGACGUCCCCUUUGGGGACGCGCCUCGAAACGCUCGGCGGCGUGGCACCGGCUUUAAGCGUAGCAGAAUCUUUCGCUUUGGAAGUCGGGGCCCCGUCUGCCGGGAGACCUACUCGCAAGGUUGACCUCGGAUCAGGCAGGGAUACCCGCUGAACUUAAGCAUAUCAAUAAGCGGAGGA
rnacentral:misc_RNA from 1 species